rnacentral:rRNA from 1 species
CCUACGGGAGGCUGCAGUCGAGGAUCUUCGGCAAUGGGCGCAAGCCUGACCGAGCGACGCCGCGUGCGGGAUGAAGGCCUUCGGGUUGUAAACCGCUGUCAGUGGGGAGGCCUAUCCGCAGAGGAAGUGUGGGCUAAGUUCGUGCCAGCAGCCGCGGUAAGACGAACCACACAAACGUUAUUCGGAAUUACUGGGCUUAAAGGGUGCGUAGGCUGCGCGAAAAGUUGGGUGUGAAAUCCCUCGGCUCAACCGAGGAACUGCGCCCAAUACUGUCGUGCUCGAGGGAGACAGAGGUGAGCGGAACUUAGGGUGGAGCGGUGAAAUGCGUUGAUAUCCUAAGGAACACCCGUGGCGAAAGCGGCUCACUGGCUCUUCUGACGCUGAGGCACGAAAGCUAGGGUAGCGAACGGGAUUAGAUACCCUUGUAGUC